rnacentral:sRNA from 1 species
CUUGGUCAUUUAGAGGAAGUAAAAGUCGUAACAAGGUUUCCGUAGGUGAACCUGCGGAAGGAUCAUUACAGAGAACAUGCCCUUUAGGGGGUAUAUCUCCCACCCUUUGUUUACAAUACCUUUGUUGCUUUGGUGGGCCCGUCUUUUAGACCACCGGCCUUGGCUGGUCUGUGCCCACCAGAGGACCAAACAAUUCCUUUUAUUAUGUUGUCUGAGUCUAAAUAAUUUUUAUAAAACUUUCAACAACGGAUCUCUUGGUUCUGGCAUCGAUGAAGAACGCAGCGAAAUGCGAUAAGUAAUGUGAAUUGCAGAAUUCAGUGAAUCAUCGAAUCUUUGAACGCACAUUGCACCCUUGAGUAUUCUCAGGGGUAUGCCUGUUCGAGCGUCAUUAUGACCACUCAAGCCUAGCUUGGUAUUGGGGUUCGCGGUCCCGCGGCCCUUAAAAUCAGUGGCGGUGCCAUCUGGCUCUAAGCGUAGUAAUUUAUCUCGCUAUUGGGUCCGGUGGUUGCUUGCCAACAACCCUUAACUUUUAAGGUUGACCUCGGAUCGGGUAGGGAUACCCGCUGAACUUAAGCAUAUCAAUAAGCGGAGGA